rnacentral:rRNA from 1 species
UACGUAGGGUGCAAGCGUUAAUCGGAAUUACUGGGCGUAAAGCGUGCGCAGGCGGCUUUGCAAGUCAGAUGUGAAAUCCCCGGGCUUAACCUGGGAACUGCAUUUGUGACUGCAAGGCUGGAGUGCGGCAGAGGGGGAUGGAAUUCCGCGUGUAGCAGUGAAAUGCGUAGAUAUGCGGAGGAACACCGAUGGCGAAGGCAAUCCCCUAGGCCUGCACUGACGCUCAUGCACGAAAGCGUGGGGAGCAAACAGG